rnacentral:rRNA from 1 species
AGUGAACGCUGGCGGUAGGCCUAACACAUGCAAGUCGAACGGCAGCACAGUAAGAGCUUGCUCUUACGGGUGGCGAGUGGCGGACGGGUGAGGAAUACAUCGGAAUCUACUUUUUCGUGGGGGAUAACGUAGGGAAACUUACGCUAAUACCGCAUACGACCUACGGGUGAAAGCAGGGGAUCUUCGGACCUUGCGCGAUUGAAUGAGCCGAUGUCGGAUUAGCUAGUUGGCGGGGUAAAGGCCCACCAAGGCGACGAUCCGUAGCUGGUCUGAGAGGAUGAUCAGCCACACUGGAACUGAGACACGGUCCAGACUCCUACGGGUGGCAGCAGUGGGGAAUAUUGGACAAUGGGCGCAAGCCUGAUCCAGCCAUACCGCGUGGGUGAAGAAGGCCUUCGGGUUGUAAAGCCCUUUUGUUGGGAAAGAAAAGCAGCAGGUUAAUACCCCGCUGUUCUGACGGUACCCAAAGAAUAAGCACCGGCUAACUCCGUG